GCGUCUGAUCCGAGGCGGCCGCCUUCUCCCCGCGCGUGGUGCCUCCUGGGGUGACCGCUGCUCCGUCUCCGCCGCAGGCGCCCCCGGGCCACUCUCCCGUACCGCCUGGACCAGGAGUUGUGUUUCUGGGGCUGCCGGGGCCCGGCCUUGCCGCCUGUCGCCACCUGCAGCAGCCUGGGCGAUUACUGGCUGAGCCCGCAGCGCCGGCGCCCACCGGGCGCCACCUGGCGCUGGCCCGCUCGCAAUAUGCUGCUACUGCCAGGGGCCACCGGGCUGGCGGAUAUACCCUCGGCGCGCUGGCCCAGCUGCUACGGCGUUCGCCCGCGCCUCACGUGGAAGCACCGGUGGCAGAAUAUUAACUACCAGUAUCUGGGCAAGAGGAAGAGACAUCUAGUUCCUCUGCGCCCGUGAGAGCCGCCAACAGAUAUUUAUGGAGCCCCCCCUCAUUUGGAAAGUGACCUUGAGGCAGAAGAGAAUGGCUGGAGGGGCUGGACUUGUGUAGAGAGUCAAGCAAGAAGGCUGAUGAAGUAGCCCAGGUCCAGAUGAGGAGACUGAGGCUCAGAAGAGAGGGCCUAGAGCCACACAGCUGGGAAGUGACAAAGCCAACUCUUCACCCCUACAGUUGCCUCAACACAACAAUCCCUCACUGAAUCCUUGCCACAACCGGAAGUGGUACCCGAUGUCCUGGUUUUACAGCAGGUGUUGUGAUGCUCAGCAAGAGGAAGGGACUUGUCCAGGUCACAAAGCCCGAAGGUUGCAGCAGUUUGGAUCCAAAUCAUUUGGGGGGAACAGGUGAUGGGGCAAGAACAGUGUGGAGAGGAAGAGGUGGGACUGGCAACUGGACAAAAAGAGUGUUUCAGUUUCCCUUUUAAAGGGGCUUCCCCCAAAAUGGGGGAUUUUGGCUGGAAAGUUGUUAGUAAUCCACAUUCCACUGGUUUGGCCAUCUCCGCCUCAAAGGCUCCCAGGAACUGAAAAGAAACUGAAAGUUGGGAAGAGGGGAGGGGAGGAGGGAAGGGAGAGGCUGGGGACAGAGUAACUGGGUUGAGUUUCUGGUGACCUCACUGAGCCUGGGGGAGGCAGGCAGGCGAGCUGGGAUUACACACCUCUUAGCUAUUGGAAAAAUUGAGCCCCAGAGAGACACCCCUAUUUGUGGCUGGGUCCUUUGUGCAGCCACCCCCAACACACACACACAGACACACAGACACACAGACACACNACACACACACACACACACACACACACACACACACACACACACACGGCGUGGGGUGGGGGCAGGGGGAACCAGGGGAAGAGGGAGGAAAAUGGAGAAACGAAAGCUCUGGGCAGGAGUGUCCUCUGUGGUGCAAUGGAAUUGGUGGCAUCUCUGCAGUGUCAGAUUUAGGUUCAAACCCCAGCCCAGCACAGUGGGGUUAAAAGAUCCAACAGUGCCGCAGCUACGGUAUGGCUUGGAUCUGAUCCCUGACCAGGGAAC
rnacentral:lncRNA from 1 species